GAGCUAGAGUGUACACUCACCUGCCGAAGCAACUAGCCCUGAAAAUGGAUGGCGCUAAAGCUUCUCACUUAUACCUCACCGUUCAGAUAGAGCCGGGCUUUAAGCCCCUGACAUCUGAACGAGUAGGAAGGUCGCAGGGAUGGCGCGGAAGGCUCUGGGUGUGAACCUGGCUGGAGCCGUCCCUGGUGCAGAUCUUGGUGGUAGUAGCAAAUACUCCAGAGAGGCCCUGGAGGACCGAUGUGGAGAAGGGUUUCGUGUGAACAGCUGUUGGACACGAGUCAGUCGAUCCUAAGGCUUAGUGGAAGCACGAAAUGACCGUGUGGUGUUUUCUAGAGUGAAAACCACAGUCGUAGCCGAAAGGGAAUGAGGUCCUUAUUCCUCAACCUGGUAGCGGAACCGUUCAGGCCCUCGUACCUGACGUGGCAACACGAAAUGAGUCUGAGACGUCCGCCGGAGCUCUGGGAAGAGUUGUCUUUUCUGCAUAAGCCACCGAGGCCCUGGAAUCCUCUCGCAGGGAGAAUGGGUUUUGGUCUAGGCGAAGAGCGCAGCAGUUCUCGCUGUGUCCACGAGUGCCCGGCGGAACCUUGAAAAUCAGACUGAGGGACACGGCGGCGUCGCACCAGCUCGUACCCAUAUCCGCAGCAGGUCUCCUAGGUGAAAAGCCUCUGGUCGAUAGAAUAAUGUAGGUAAGGGAAGUCGGCAAAUUGGAUCCGUAACUUCGGGAUAAGGAUUGGCUCUGAGGGGCGGGGUGCUUGGGCUCUGUGGUGGAAGCAGGUUGUCUAACGGCGGGUCUGGGCGUGCUCUCGGGCUAACCCGGCCUCGUUUCACAGGCUCCUGUGGAUACCCAUUGCUUCGCGGGUCCGGGAAACCGGUGUCCUGUUCAAGCAUCGAUCAACGCCUUGCUCAGAACUGGCACGGACUAGGGGAAUCCGACUGUCUAAUAAAACAAAGCAUGCGAUUCAAGA
rnacentral:rRNA from 1 species